rnacentral:rRNA from 1 species
UGGGGAAUAUUGGACAAUGGGCGCAAGCCUGAUCCAGCAAUGCCGCGUGUGUGAAGAAGGUCUUCGGAUCGUAAAGCACUUUCGACGGGGACGAUGAUGACGGUACCCGUAGAAGAAGCCCCGGCUAACUUCGUGCCAGCAGCCGCGGUAAUACGAAGGGGGCUAGCGUUACUCGGAAUUACUGGGCGUAAAGGGCGCGUAGGCGGCGCUCCAAGUUAGGCGUGAAAGUCCUGGGCUCAACCUGGGAACUGCGCUUAAGACUGGAGUGCUUGAGGAUGGAAGAGGGUUGUGGAAUUCCCAGUGUAGAGGUGAAAUUCGUAGAUAUUGGGAAGAACACCGGUGGCGAAGGCGGCAACCUGGUCCAUUACUGACGCUGAGGCGCGACAGCGUGGGGAGCAAACAG